rnacentral:lncRNA from 1 species
AGUGCAGGCUCACGUUUAGCUUGCCAUUUACUGCUGAUGUAAUGCAAGAUAAAGGAUGAAUAAACCUGGGCUACAGCAACCAAAUCUUGCAUCAUUUAGCUGCACUUCAACUUGCCUCUGUCCUUGCAGAAACGCAGUAAGCUGAAGUGACCGGGCUCUGCCACUGAGCUGAAGGAGCCUCUGCUUCCUCAGGUCGGGGAGAUUGUCUUCAGUGCCUGACUGGACCGGCUGCUUGUCGUUCACCUCUCCGCAUUGCAGCAAGCAGAYGGAGCGUGCCAGCAUUUUCCCUCCGUUCAGAAUCAGGAGGGAUCUUUUCUCCACAGUGACAGGCAGUGAUCUCUAGCUGGUACCUCCGAGAGCAUCCAAGAGCCUUGCAGGUCCACCUUGGUUUGGCUGGAAGAAAUUAGGAGCUGCAAGACCUGUAGUUCAGAAGAGGAUGGAAGUGCUCACUUCUAUUUCAUAGCAUCCACAGAGGCAUUUCACGUGGCUCACCUUUCAAUACAAGCAUGUAGCUGCCCGCUCGCUGGGGCAGAUGCCAGCAGGCUUCAUCUUGCUGCUGAGGAAGCUGGAGGGGAAGAGCAGAGGUGGAAACUCCAGUGACGCUCCCAGUUGAGAGCUGAUCAUGGCUGCGGGGAUAGACCCGAGCAAACGCAGAGCCUGAGACGGAGCAGCGCGUGUGUCAGGCCAGGCUGGGAGCAGCUCUGCAGGCAAGGACUGCUGGCAUCUAGUGGACAGCAAGCCGCUUA